rnacentral:rRNA from 1 species
AACGUAGGAGACGAACGUUAUCCGGAGUUACUGGGCGUAAAGGGCGCGUAGGCGGGAUGGCAAGUCGGUCGUGAAAUCCCUCGGCUCAACCGAGGAACGUCGAUCGAUACUGCUGUUCUUGAGGAUUGCAGAGGAGACUGGAAUUCCCGGUGUAGCGGUGAAAUGUGUAGAGAUCGGGAGGAACACCGGUGGCGAAGGCGGGUCUCUGGGCAAUUCCUGACGCUGAGGCGCGAAAGCGUGGGGAGCAAACGGG